GCGCCCGUAGCUCAGUAGGAUAGAGCGCCGGUUUCCUAAACCGGAAGUCGCAGGUUCGAGUCCUGCCGGGCGCG
rnacentral:tRNA from 1 species